UUUUCGACGGCCAUUUUGGACGCUUUUCCUAUUGAUGUAAGAAGCUGUAAGAUGUAAAGAAGCUCUAGAAAUUCGGGAUUUGCGCCAAAAUGGUUGGCAAUUGUGCUGUUCCACAUUGUAAUUCAACAUACUAUAAAAGUGCGCAAAUAAAAAGUGGAAUUGCUCUGUUCUCCGUCCCAAAAACAGCCGUAGGAUUAUGGCAACAGCAAAUACCAUCAAUCGUUUAGACGAGCACUUCUCGUAUUUGCACGCGCCAUUUUGAUGAGAAUGACGUAAAAAGAGGGACUGAAGUAUUAAACGUGUUUCAUCCGUUUAAACGAUGGGUUUUGAAGGAAGGAGCCAUUCCGAGAUAUUUCCUUACACCCAAUGAAACUUCCCGACAACCAUUACAAAGCAUUUGCAAUGUGAAUAGGAGAAACAAUUCAAUAGCAAACCCUACUGUCGAUGAAAAGUGCAGGAAGCAUCCAAAUAAAGAAAGAUAUGCCUUUGCGAAGAAGAGCAGCCUAAAUAAAAAGAUUUCUGAUGAUUUGGCCACCCCCAUGGAAGUCGUUCCAGAUGAGAACCUUUCAGUUGAAAAACAGGUUACCAGCUAUGGCUAAACAACCUGCAUUAGUAGUCGUAGAGACAAUACCGACACUACCAACAGUGGUGAAAUUGACGCCGAUGGAUGAUGUUCAUGAUCCGAAUACCGCAAAUGAGUCAGAAUUGAACUUUACAACUGAAGAAACCGUUAAUGAAAAUGCAGAAAUAACAAGUACUGCUCAAUCAUCUUCAACUACAGAUGAGAGUAUAUGGAACUUCAAACCAAACUUCAUCACGUAUUUUACAUUGGUGUCCCAAAUGGAAUUACCUGACGGUUGGAUAUGGUCAUUCAACCAAGCCAAAAACGCCAUACUUUGCAUUUAAACGGACCCAUUAUCUAACGGAACGGUGACAGUGAAAGCAAUACUAUUCCGAAACUCACAAGAGGUUUCGUAUCAUCUUAAUGGAAAGCACAUUGCACCAAACAGUAUUCCUACUCAUUUUUCAUCAAUGGAAGACAUAUCAAACUUAAUAAGGAAUUUUCACGAAAAAAACAUUUGCGUUGGUAUUGUUGGAAGCCAGUUUAAAGAUGUCGAGUUUUCAUUACGGCUCUCUGUAGUUUUUGACGCCAAUGGAGUCAUUCGAUCAGGCUUCUGCAAAAUUCUAAUGGACAAAAAAAACGAUGUGUGAAAUGUAGCACUUUAAAAAAAAUGUUACCUACAGAAAAGGAUGAAAAGCAGAAGCACGAAGAUUCUUUAACACAAUCAGAUUCCACAAAAAAAAAAAUCUGAAUUGACCCAGAAAAAUGAAGAACUGUAUCGUUGUCGGAUGCAAAAGAACAUUUACAAAUGUAGGGCAAAGGAUGCAUCAACUAUGAUUGCCAAAUUGCGUCGUGAGUGUAGGAUAAUGGUCCACAAGGAUUCAAGGAAUGGACUCGACCGUCUAUUAAUGCAUCUAUCUGAAACGGUAAAUAUUACAAAUUGAGAUUGCAAUAAGACUUACUUUCUUGAGAUAUAAGAUUUUAAUUCUUCUGAUUCUUGAAUACUUGGACCUUUUAAAAAAAAAGUAAUUUAAAAGUAAGUCAAAUUUACUUACCAAUUGUCUUGACUUUUCUUAUCACGAGUGGUUACUUAAUGGUGUUUCCGGUCUUCCGUAAAAGUAAAGGAUUGACCAUGUCUUCCUAUGGAUUAUGCAUCUCAAACUUAGAAAUAUAACAAUAGUUUUCGUUGGUAUAGAUAUGAA